AUUGAACGCUGGCGGCAUGCCUUACACAUGCAAGUCGAACGGCAGCACGGGUGCUUGCACCUGGUGGCGAGUGGCGAACGGGUUAGUAAUACAUCGGAACGUACCUUAUCGUGGGGGAUAACGCAGCGAAAGCUGUGCUAAUACCGCAUACGCCCUGAGGGGGAAAGCGGGGGGUCGCAAGACCUCGCGCGAUUAGAGCGGCCGAUGCCUGAUUAGCUUGUUGGUGGGGUAAAAGCCCACCAAGGCGACGAUCAGUAGCUGGUCUGAGAGGACGAUCAGCCACACUGGGACUGAGACACGGCCCAGACUCCUACGGGAGGCAGCAGUGGGGAAUUUUGGACAAUGGGGGCAACCCUGAUCCAGCAAUGCCGCGUGAGUGAAGAAGGCCUCCGGGUUGUAAAGCUCUUUUGUCAGGGAAGAAACACCGGCUCUAACACAGUCCGGGAAUGACGGUACCUGAAGAAUAAGCACCGGCUAACUACGUGCCAGCCGCCGCAGUAA
rnacentral:rRNA from 1 species